rnacentral:rRNA from 1 species
AUUGAACGCUGGCGGCAGGCUCAACACAUGCAAGUCGAACGAGUGGCGGACGGGCGAGUAAUGCUUGGGAUUCUAUCUCAUGGAGGGGGAUAACUACGGGAAACUGUAGCUAAUACCGCGUACCAUAGGAUGAGCCCAAGUGGGAGUAGGUAGUUGGUCAGGUAAAGGCUCACCAAGCCGACGAUCGCUAGCUGGCCUGAGCGGAUGACCAGCCACACUGGGACUGAGACACGGCCCAGACUCCUACGGGAGGCAGCAGUGGGGAAUAUUGCGCAAUGGGGGCAACCUGACGAAGCCAUGCCGCGUGAAUGAAGAAGGCCUUCGGGUUGUAAAGUGCUUUCGGUAGCGAGGCGUUAACUACAGAAGAAGCACCGGCUAACUCCGUGCCAGCAGCCGCGGUAAUUC